ensembl:lncRNA
AGGUUGCUGACCCCUGUCCUAGACCAACUAAAAUCAGGUAGCGAAAUGCUAAAAUCCUGAUGCUCUUCCUCCUGAACCUGGAUGCUGCUGUCUUGUCUACAAUCACAUACAAACAAAAUCUUCAAACAGGUGGGUUAUUUCUCAGCAAAUAUAAAACAAAUUAUUAAACCAAACGUCUACCUCAAAUGUGCAUCCUGUCGACCAACGUAGCUAAUAGUAUUUGUAAAUUUAAGGAGAUUAAGGUUAUAUUUGCCCUUUUGUUUAUAGGGUUCGAUUGCUGCCGCAUCCUCUCAGUGACCAACCACCUGAUUUUAAGUGAGGAGUCGAAACGCCUAGCUGCUGUCUUGUCUUGUUUUGUCUUGUGUUCCGUUCUGUUGGCUGUCCAGUUUUGUUCCUGCUGCUUUGCCUCGCCUCGCCUCUGGGGGCUUUGGGUCUCACUUUAAGCCCCUUCUGGACUAUUGUUUGCACUCUCGCUUCCGCGGCUGGCUAGGGCGAUCCUCAGCUGCAUAUCGGGCUGGUGCUACAAAACUGGUACUGCCUCCCCUGGUUGCUCCCAGUUUGUGGAGAGCUGCAUGAGACUGAGUGAGGCUACGGACAAUCAUAACCAGCACCAGCUGUGGGCUGCAAAGAAGUGAGUGCAAAGAUUUUCAAUCUGUGCUCUGUGGUGUGUGUGGGUGUGUUUUAUUAAAGAUUUUAGUUUUUCUUUUGAUUCUUUUUUUUUUUAAAUUAUAUAGAGAGCCUGUUAUUUGGUGUCCCGUGUUUUAUUCUUUUCAUGUGUAUGUCUUGUGCUUUUAUUUCAGCGAACUGAGGAUCUACCAGCGGCCGUGGGACCUCAGGUGGCGGGUCGUUUUCCACACUUCCUUUGUUGUACAGCACCGGGUGGUUUUCUUUUUGGUCCACCACUGCUGGUAAGUCCCAGUUGUCUGUUUUAUUUUUAUUGUAAUCUGGGACACAGUUUUAGAUGACACUACAUUCAGUGCUCUGUCAUUGUUGAUGUUUUUAUUUUAUUUUAUAUUAAUAAAUAAAAUUGUGUUAAUAUUUGAGCCGGCCUGAGUGUGAAUCCCUGAACCUGUACAAACGUUGUUGGUUCUUUUUAUUACAUUUUAUUCCCAAACAAUUUUAUUUCCUGGGGGUGAAAUUCCCCUAGGUGGCGUUGUCAUUUUAUUACUUUUUUUAUAGCCCCGCCAACCACUUGGUCACACAAAGUAAGAUCAAUGAAAUGCUGAGGAAAAAACACAACUUGAGGAACUUUCUAACAACUUGAAGUCCAAAAGCACUCUAAUGGAGGCGCAAAAGCAACAACAAGAGAAAACACAUGAAGACCUGUAGUGUACGAUUCAAGAAAUCCAGAGAAGUCAGCAGUUAGAAGAAAAGCACAACAACACACAAAAGAGAAAUAAAGAAAUGCACAAGGCAAAGCUAAUACAAGAGGCAACAUCUAAAGAACUAAAAGAAAAGCUUGAAGAAAAACAAGGAAAAAUGGAAGCCAUGGAGAAAAGAUGCAAGAAACUUGAAACUCAAAAUGCAGAAACAAUCAAUGAGUUGAAAAUCCUCAUCCUAGAGAAAAAAAGGGCUCAUGGAACAGUGCCUGAAAAAGAAGCAAAAACUCUUACGCUUGUUCCAAAAGAGGGAGACUGCUGCUCCUCGCCUGAUGUAAUCUCAUCUUCCUCCACCUCUGUUCCAUCUUAAUUCCCCCCCUCCCUCUUUACCUUUUUCUCCUAACACCUCUCCCCUCCUUUCUUCAUCCUUUUUCU